AGUGAUGAUAGAGGUGCGAACUUCAAGAGUAGACAUUCGGAGGAAAAUGAGUUCUGAAGAGGAAUGUUGAAAGGGGAGCGUCGCCGAAGUGGGGAAAGUCUCAUUGCUUUUCCUGCUGGUUCUGCGUUGAAGAAAUGUAGGACUGUCAAGAUGGAUUCAUCUUGGAGCGCUAUCUCACUG
rnacentral:ncRNA from 1 species